CCUACGGGAGUCUGCAGUGGGGAAUAUUGGGCAAUGGGCGCAAGCCUGACCCAGCACCGCCGCGUGAAGGAAGAAGGCUUUCUGGUUGUACACUUCUUUUGACAGGGAAGCGCAGCAGACGGUACCCUGACCCCCAGCCACUGCUAACUACGUGCCAGCAGCCGCGGUAAUACGUCGGUGGCAAGCGUUGUCCGGAUUUACUGGGUGUAAAGGGCGUGUAGCCGGGAAGGCAAGUCAGAUGUGAAAUCCGGAGGCUCAACCUCCGAAUUGCAUUUGAAACUGUUGUUCUUGAGUACUGGAGAGGCAGACGGAAUUCCUUGUGUAGCGGUGAAAUGCGUAGAUAUAAGGAGGAACACCAGUGGCGAAGGCGGUCUGCUGGACAGCAACUGACGGUGAGGCGCGAAAGCGUGGGGAGCAAACAGGAUUAGAUACCCCUGUAGUC
rnacentral:rRNA from 1 species